rnacentral:rRNA from 1 species
UCCGUAGGUGAACCUGCGGAAGGAUAUUAUUGAAAUAAACCUGAUGAGUUGCUGCUGGUUCUCUAGGGAGCAUGUGCACGCUUGUCAUCUUUAUAUCUCCACCUGUGCACCUUUUGUAGACCUGGAUAUCUCUCUGAAUGCUUGACAUUCAGGUUUGAGGAUUGACUUUUAUGUCUCUCUUUAUAUUUCCAGGCCUAUGUUUCUUCAUUAUACCCUAAUGUAUGUUAUAGAAUGUUAAUCAAUGGGCUUUUAUGCCUAUAAACCUAUACAACUUUCAGCAACGGAUCUCUUGGCUCUCGCAUCGAUGAAGAACGCAGCGAAAUGCGAUAAGUAAUGUGAAUUGCAGAAUUCAGUGAAUCAUCGAAUCUUUGAACGCACCUUGCGCUCCUUGGUAUUCCGAGGAGCAUGCCUGUUUGAGUGUCAUUAAUAUAUCAACCUCAUCAUCUUUUGUUUGUUGAGUGUUGGAUGUGGGGGUCUUUUUGCUGGUCUUUCUUAAAAGGUCGGCUCCCCUGAAAUACAUUAGCGGAACAAAUUUGUGGACCGUUCAUUGGUGUGAUAACUAUCUACGCUAUUGACGUGAAGCAGAGUUCAGCUUCUAACAGUCUAUUGACUUGGACAAAAUUUCAUUAAUGUGACCUCAAAUCAGGUAGGACUACCCGCUGAACUUAA